CCCUAACCACCGAGGUCUUUCUGAGCAGCUUGAUAGUCAGAAGACUUCUUUAAUGGACUGUAAAUCAAAAAAUGAAUUGUAUUUGUUGUUUCUCCAGAUUUGCCAGUGAAAGAAGAGCUUGCGUCUGCCUGGCUGCUUUCAGAUCCAGUCCUCUUUGCCAGCCAAAGCAGAUUCUUCUUGCCUGCUUCCAAGAGGCAUGAGCUUAAACAACUGGUCUCAGAGUGGGGUGUUUCUACAGUCUGAGCCAUGAAGAGAGGAGAUGAAGUCUUCUCCUCUUCGGUGUAUAUGGAAGAGACUGGAGCUGAGCUGCUGUCUCCGUACCAGUAAAACUACAGUGAAAUCUGAAUUCUUUGUUCAUGUUUCAUCGCUCGCUUUGAGGAAAACAGUGAUGAUGAGAUCAGACAUCAGCCUCGGGGGGAGCGUCGGUACCACCCACCCCACUGCAAUCAGCGUCUGGUUCUCUCCAUUCCUGUCUGUCCCUGGCAGUGCUGCUGCAGGCUCCCCUGGGCAGAGCAGUCUUGUUCUACAGCACUCAGGCCCAUGGAUGGCGCGUUGCUGA
rnacentral:lncRNA from 1 species